rnacentral:precursor_RNA from 1 species
AGGAGGAAGAGGAAGGGCGAGAGCAGACAGUUUUGUCUGACACCAGUUCUUACUGAGAAUGCAUUUGUCAGCUGUCCUCCA